rnacentral:sRNA from 1 species
GGACAGAGAGCCAUUUUUAAGCUAUCAGAUCUUGUGAGAACUCCCUCACUAUCACGAGAACAGCAUGGGGGAAACUGCCUCCAUGACCCAGUCACCUCCCACCAUCCCCUGCUCAACACGUGGGGAUGAGAAUUCAAGAUGGAAUUGUGUGGGGACACAGAGCCAAACCAUAUCAAGUACCUACAAAAUUAUGGUGAAUCUUCACUAAUUUGCAAACUGAUUAUCUGCAAAUCUUAAAUAGGGAAUAAAACACAAAAAUAUCAUUAUCCCUCCAAAACUGAGGACACAAGUUGGAGUUAGAAGACUUAGCUGUGACACCUAGAUAUGUUUCCAUUGAUUUGACCUAACUUGAUCUCAGUUUCUCUUUUAUGGAAUUAGUUCUUUAGAUCAGAGGUCCCCAACCCCGGGACUGCAGACUGCCACUGAUCUUUGGCCUGUCAGGCACCCAGCCACACAGCAGGAGUGUGAAAAAAAAGGAAAAAACUGAAAAUCUCAAGAGGAUUCCAGGAAAUCAAAACAAUGAAUUAUUGAAUAAAGAAUUUGAAAGAGAAAAUAGAUGCAUACUGAAAAAAGAAUUUUGUUUAGUGAGAUAGAUGUAAUAAUGAAGGCAUGUUGAUAACGGGGGAGCUAUGUAUAUAUGAGGGGAGGGAUAUAUCGGAAAUCUCUGUAUCUUCCUCUCAAUCUUUCUUUGAUCCUAAAACUGCUCUAAAAAAUAUUUUGAGAAGGAAUAG